rnacentral:lncRNA from 1 species
GGGAUGGCAGCCUCUAGUGAAGUAACAGUCACGGCAGAUUACAAAUGAGCCAAUUGACCCUCACCAGCUGUACUAGGAAAAAAAAAACCCAACCAAACAAAGAGAUGUCGCAUUAUCGAUAGAAAAACAACACACAUCCACAGUUAUUUACCUACAGAGCACAGAAGAAUAGAGUAAGGGUGAUGGAGCUCAGUGCAAUCCACCUCACACCGCUCCUAUGGUAUCGUGUUAUCCUUCAGAAGACCACUGGCUUGAGUAGGUAGUACAUGCACAGCAAUAAAAAAAACUAUGGGUAUUGUCUUGGUCCCACCUCAGAUCUCAGUGGACUCUAUUCUUUCCAGCCUGGAGGGAGUCCAUGGUUUUUUCUCCUCGGUGUGCGGUGGGCUGGUGGCCUUUGUGUUCAUCUCGUUCACCUUGUGCUCCAAGAGUUGGUUCUUCUGGUACAUCUCCACGUAGUUCAGCUGCAGCUGCUUCUGGUACUUGAUGACUUUCUCCUUCUCUUCUUGCCACGUGCGCCGCUCCUCCUCGAAGUCCAUCACCUGCUGCUCCCGUUGCUGCCGCUCCAGCUUCAGCUCCGUCUGCAGCCGCUCCACCUCCUUCCGCAGCGCAUUGACGCUGUCCUCGCUCUGCCUCUGCAUCUUGGCUUCGUCGCUUUCGCAGGCCAGCGGGUCCCUCAGCUUCUCAGCCAGGUCCCCACCAAAAGGCCCCGGAGGUCCCAUGCUGGCAAGUGUCCGCUUCAGUCCUGAGACCUCCAGCUCACAGUGGUUCAGUUUUUCCCUCAGCACCUGGACCUCGCUCAUCUUCCGCUGCAGCUCGCUCUCGCAGAUCUCCAGGUUGACACUCUUGGAGCUGUAGGAGUCUUUCAAGCUUGAAGAUCUGGAGCUGCAAGGCCUGUUGUGCCCGCUGCGCCUUUUUGGACACCUGCUGCAAUUUGUUGGCGUAGUUCUGCCUGAG